CCUUUUUCUUUUUUUCACCAUCUAAAAACCCUAAUUUCUCAAUCGCCACAUUCUUCUCCUUCACGCCUAUUGUUCAUCCUCCUCCUUCUGCUUCAACUUCCCAUCUGACGUUGAUUCUAUCAAUAAACCCUAAUGAAUAAUAUACCUGAUCAAUCCGUUCUUUAGUUUCUUCAUUCCUUUUUCAAACCCUAAAACUCCAGCCGUACAGAGAUUGAAGAGAUUCAGCUGGUUUGGAAUCCUCCUCUGAUAUAUGUUCUCCCUUUGUCAUGUUACCAACUGACAAAGACGUUGAGUGGAGUAGUCGGUUGUGCUUCGGCUAAGGUCCCGCUGGGAACCUAAUGACGGAGAGGAGGUUGUCGGCUGUACAGCCUGGACUUCUCUUGGUUAAUUUUUUGUCAGGUGUUUAUAAUGGUACAUUUAAUGUUUUCUAUUGGGACUGAAAUUUUGAAAGUAGAUGACAACGAUCAAGUGAUUCGUGUUCUGUAAUCUAAGAAAAUGUGGAAAAGGCUAAGGGGAGGUGAUUGUUGUAUAACUAGACAUACAGAAGGUCCACAACACGUUUCUUGAUCUUGGGGAUUUGAAUAUCCUCCGGCCAUACAUGAGGGAUGCAAUAACAGAUAUAUCUAAGUCAUGUGAAGCUUUUAAAGCAAAAGAAACAGCACCUUCAGUUGCAGUUUUAGCUUUGUGUACACUUCAAUAUGAGAUUUGAAAAACUUACGUACAAAGGCUUACUUCAUGGAUGAGGUCUUCAACUAAAGAGAUAUUGAUGUAUGAGAAGUUGAAAAAACGAGUGCCAAUGUUCUUAGAAAUAUCAUAUAUAAUGGUGGAUGAUCAUGAUGUGUGUUCAACUACCCCUCCAGUUGCCACACGAUGCUAAUUGUCCUUAUAACUCCUCCGCCUAUUGACGAGGAAGGGUGACAACAAUAUGCAACAUCUGUAUACGGAGAAAAAGCAAUGACAGCUCCGGAAAGAACAAAUGAAGUAGCUGGAAAUUAUGCAAACGAGUAUGUUGAGGUAGCUAGGGAACUCGGUGUUUCUUCGGUCAACUUAUGGUCAAAGAUGCAAGAAACAUAGGGGCUGGCAGAAAAAGUUUCUAAGGAGCUUGCUGAUCUACGUUGGAGGGAUCUCUCAUUUGGGUGUUCUGUUUAACCAAACAGCCUUUGGCAUAGCUCUGGUUGCUGAUGGCACCGGGUAUAUGUAUAGGCUUAUGAAGAGAUGGGUGUAUUCCCUGCAUGUUGAAACUGGUUCAUGGCCAAUUUAUAAAGUGAAAAGGAGGAAAGUUGAAUUGCUUGGUUUAUGGGCCAUGUGUAAGGGUGAGCAAACUUUAACUGUUAACCAAUGUUUCAUGCUAGAUGUAACAAGCUAACUGUUAACUAUGUUUUCCCUCUUUCUGCAAUGUAGAUAGGGUCCUAGAUCAUGUUUAGGAAUAUAAAGUUUCAAUAUUUUUUGUUAAUUAAUUGGAAUUGUUGAUAAAGUUAGACAUAUUUAGUGUCAUCUAAUAUGUGGGGUUGCUAAAAACCCUAAAGAUGAGGGCAUUUGAUCCAACUAAUCUGUUAUAUUUAUUACCCCCUUUAUUAGGAUUCAUACAGUUGACCUUAUGUAUCAAAGAAGUUACUUUCGAUUUUAAUA